AUAUUUAGUAAAGUAAACAAUCACGUUUGAUAACAUUAUUAUAACAUAUUAUGAUAACAUAUUAUUAUAACAUAUCAUUAUAACUAAACCUAUUUAAAUAAAAUAAAUAAAAGAGGAAUGAAAUAAGAAAUAACAGAAGAAGGAAAAAGAAGAAAAACAAGUUACACUUCUCUAUCGGCACCGGAGGAGGUAAGGAGGCGGGUUUUU
rnacentral:lncRNA from 1 species